AGAGUUUGAUCCUGGCUCAGAAUGAACGCUGGCGGCGUGCUUAACACAUGCAAGUCGUGCGCGAAGGUGGCUUCGGCCACCGGAGAGCGGCGAACGGGUGAGUAACACGUGGGUGAUCUGCCUGGAAGCGGGGGAUAACCUGGGGAAACUCGGGCUAAUACCGCAUACGUUGUCGGGGGGUAGACUUCGACAAGAAAACCGGCCUCUGCUUGCAAGCUGGUGUUUCCAGAGGAGCCCGCGUCUGAUUAGCUAGUUGGUGAGGUAAUGGCUCACCAAGGCGACGAUCAGUAGCCGGCCUGAGAGGGUGAUCGGCCACACUGGGACUGAGACACGGCCCAGACUCCUACGGGAGGCAGCAGUGGGGAAUAUUGGACAAUGGGCGCAAGCCUGAUCCAGCAACGCCGCGUGGAGGACGAAGGUCUUCGGAUCGUAAACUCCUGUCAGAUGGGACGAAGGGACCAGGGUAAAUAAUCCUGGUUCUUGACGGUACUAUCAGAGGAAGCCCCGGCUAACUCCGUGCCAGCAGCCGCGGUAAUACGGAGGGGGCGAGCGUUAUUCGGAAUUAUUGGGCGUAAAGGGCGCGUAGGCGGCUUGGCAAGUCAAAGGUGAAAUCCCUCGGCUCAACUGAGGAACUGCCUUUGAAACUGCCUGGCUUGAGGCCGGGAGGGGAGCGGAAUUCCCAGUGUAGCGGUGAAAUGCGUAGAUAUUGGGAGGAACACCAGUGGCGAAGGCGGCUACCUGGACCGGUUCUGACGCUGAUGCGCGAAAGCGUGGGUAGCAAACAGGAUUAGAUACCCUAGUAGUCC
rnacentral:rRNA from 1 species